rnacentral:rRNA from 1 species
GACGAACGCUGGCGGCGUGCUUAACACAUGCAAGUCGAACGGAAAGGCCCUGCUUUUGUGGGGUGCUCGAGUGGCGAACGGGUGAGUAACGCGUGAGUAACCUGCCCUUGACUUUGGGAUAACUUCAGGAAACUGGGGCUAAUACCGGAUAGGAGCUCCUGCUACAUGGUGGGGGUUGGAAAGUUUCGGCGGUUGGGGAUGGACUCGCGGCUUAUCAGCUUGUUGGCGGGGUAGUGGCUUACCAAGGCUUUGACGGGUAGCCGGCCUGAGAGGGUGACCGGCCACAUUGGGACUGAGAUACGGCCCAGACUCCUACGGGAGGCAGCAGUGGGGAAUAUUGCACAAUGGGCGGAAGCCUGAUGCAGCAACGCCGCGUGCGGGAUGACGGCCUUCGGGUUGUAAACCGCUUUCGCCUGUGACGAAGCGUGAGUGACGGUAAUGGGUAAAGAAGCACCGGCUAACUACGUG